rnacentral:rRNA from 1 species
GAUGAACGCUGGCGGCGUGCUUAAUACAUGCAAGUCGAACGGACAGGCGCUGAUUUUGUUGCUUGCUCGUGUGGCGAACGCGUGUGUAACACGCGUGUAUCCUGCCCUUGUCAUUCGGAUAACUUCACGAAACUGGGGCUAAUAUCGCGUAUAAGCUCUUGCUGCAUGGUGGGGGUUGGAAAGAUUCGGCGGUUUUGGAUGGACUCGCGGCUUAUCCGCUUGUUGGGGGGGUAGUGGCGUACCAAGUUUAUGACGGAUAGCCGGCCUGAGAGGGGGACCGGGGUCAAGAGGACUGAGAGACGGACCAGUAGCCUACGGGAGGCAGCAGGGGGGAACAUGACAGAACGGGCGGGAGCCAGAGACGACGACGUCGCGAGCGGGAUAACGGCCUUCGGGGUGAAAACAGCUGUCGCAUGAGACGAAGCGUGAGUGACGGUAAUGAGUAAAGAAGCACCGGCUAACUACGUG